GUGGGGAAUCUUGCGCAAUGGGCGAAAGCCUGACGCAGCCAUGCCGCGUGAAUGAUGAAGGUCUUAGGAUUGUAAAAUUCUUUCACCGGGGACGAUAAUGACGGUACCCGGAGAAGAAGCUCCGGCUAACUUCGUGCCAGCAGCCACGGUAAUACGAAGGGGGCUAGCGUUGCUCGGAAUUACUGGGCGUAAAGGGCGCGUAGGCGGACAGCUUAGUCAGAGGUGAAAGCCCAGGGCUCAACCUUGGAAUUGCCUUUGAUACUGGCUGUCUUGAGUUUGGGAGAGGUGAGUGGAACUCCGAGUGUAGAGGUGAAAUUCGUAGAUAUUCGGAAGAACACCAGUGGCGAAGGCGACUCACUGGCCCAAUACUGACGCUGAGGCGCGAAAGCGUGGGGAGCAAACAGGAUUAGAAACCCCAGUAGUCC
rnacentral:rRNA from 1 species